AUAGACCUACGGGGGGCAGCAGUGAGGAAUAUUGGUCAAUGGGCGGAAGCCUGAACCAGCCAAGUCGCGUGAGGGAAGAAGGCCCUGCGGGUCGCAGACCUCUUUGGACGGGGAGCAAGGCCGCCGACGUGUCGGCGGAAGGAGAGUACCCGUAGAACAAGCAUCGGCUAACUCCGUGCCAGCAGCCGCGGUAAUACGGAGGAUGCGAGCGUUAUCCGGAUUUAUUGGGUUUAAAGGGUGCGCAGGCGGCACGGCAAGCCGGCGGGCAAAGCGCGGGGGUAA
rnacentral:rRNA from 1 species